rnacentral:rRNA from 1 species
CGCCUAACACAUGCAAGUCGAACGAAGCAUAGACCUCGGUCUAUGACUGAGUGGCAGACGGGUGAGUAACACGUGGGAAUCUGCCUUUUAGUGGGGAAUAACUUCGGGAAACUGGAGCUAAUACCGCAUACGUCCUUAGGGAGAAAGACUUCGGUCGCUAAAAGAGGAGCCCGCGAUGGAUUAGGUAGUUGGUGGGGUAAAAGCCUACCAAGCCUACGAUCCAUAGCUGGUCUAAGAGGAUGAUCAGCCACACUGGGACUGAGACACGGCCCAGACUCCUACGGGAGGCAGCAGUGGGGAAUAUUGGACAAUGGGGGAAACCCUGAUCCAGCGAUGCCGCGUGCGUGAUGAAGGCCUUAGGGUUGUAAAGCGC